CUGGGCGUAAGGGCGCGUAGGCGGUUUUCUAAGUUGACGGUUAAAAGCCAUGGCUUAACCAUGGAGAUGCCGGCGAUACUGGAAUGACUAGAGGGUAGUAGAGAGGAGUGGAAUUCUCGGAGUAGCGGUAAAAUGCGUAGAUCUCGAGAGGAACACCGAUGGCGAAGGCAGCUCCUUGGGCUACAUCUGACGCUAAGGCGCGAAAGCGUGGGGAGCAAACAGGAUUAGAUACCCUGGUAGUCCACGCUGUAAACGAUGAUUACUGAAUAUGGGGCGCGCGUGCGUGCUCUGUGUUGAAGCUCACGCGUUAAGUAAUCCGCCUGGGAAGUACGGUCGCAAGAUUAAAACUCAAAGGAAUUGACGGGGGUCCGCACAAGCGGUGGAACAUGUGGUUUAAUUCGACACUACGCGAGGAACCUUACCUAGGCUUGACAUGUAUGUGACUGUGGUAGAAAUACCAUUUUCUUAGUUUACUAAGACAGAUACACAGGUGCUGCAUGGCUGUCGUCAGCUCGUGUCGUGAGAUGUUAGGUUAAGUCCUUUAACGAGCGCAACCCUUGCCGUUAGUUGCUCUGCGAAAGCAUGCACUCUAGCGGGACUGCCUUGGGAACAAGGAGGAAGGUGGGGAUGACUUCAAGUCCUCAUGGCCCUUAUGCCUAGGGCUACACACGUGUUACAAUGGGAAGUACAGAGCGGAGCAAGCUCGCGAGAGUAAGCAAAUCGCAGAAAACUUCUCUCAGUUCAGAUUGGAGUCUGCAACUCGACUCCAUGAAGUUGAAAUCGCUAGUAAUCGCGCAUCAGAACGGCGCGGUGAAUACGUUCUCGGACCUUGUACACACCGCCCGUCACACUAUGAGAGUCGUCUACACCCGAAGUCGCAUU
rnacentral:rRNA from 1 species